rnacentral:rRNA from 1 species
GAUGAACGCUAGCUACAGGCUUAACACAUGCAAGUCGAGGGGCAGCAUGAUUGAAGCUUGCUUCCAUCGAUGGCGACCGGCGCACGGGUGAGUAACACGUAUCCAACCUGCCGAUAACUCGGGGAUAGCCUUUCGAAAGAAAGAUUAAUACCCGAUAGUAUAGUAUUUCCGCAUGGUUUCACUAUUAAAGAACUUCGGUUAUCGAUGGGGAUGCGUUCCAUUAGAUAGUUGGCGGGGUAACGGCCCACCAAGUCAACGAUGGAUAGGGGUUCUGAGAGGAAGGUCCCCCACAUUGGAACUGAGACACGGUCCAAACGCCUACGGGAGGCAGCAGUGAGGAAGAGUGGUCAAUGGACGAGAGUCUGAACCAGCCAAGUAGCGUGAAGGAUGACUGCCCUAUGGGUGGUAAACUUCUUUUAUACGGGAAUAAAGUGGAGUAUGCAUACUCCUUUGUAUGUACCGUAUGAAUAAGGAUCGGCUAACUCCGUG